rnacentral:SRP_RNA from 1 species
GCUGGGGACAGUGGCGCAUGCCUGUAGUUCCAGCUACUUGGGAGGCUGAGGUGGGAGAAUCACUUGAGCCCAGGAGUUCUGGGCUGUAGUGCGCUAUGCCGAUUGGGUGUCCGCACUAAGUUCAGCAUCAAUAUGGUGACCUCCCGGAAGCGGGGGACCACCAGGUUGCCUCAGGAGGGGUGAACUGGCCCAGAUCGGAAAUGGAGCAGAUUAAAAUACCCGUGCUGAUCAGUAGUGGGAUUGCGCCUGUGAAUAGCCACUACACUCCAGCCUGGGCAACAGCGGGACCCUGUCUCU